GGGCCCAUAGCUCAGUGGGAGAGUGCCUCCUUUGCAAAGAGGAUGCCUUGGGUUCGAAUCCCAGUGGGUCUA
rnacentral:tRNA from 1 species